GUGCUCGCUUCGGCAGCACGUGCACUAAAACUGGAACGAUACAGAGACGAUCAGCACGGCCCCUGCGCAGGGAUGACACGCAAAUCCGUGAAGCGUUCCAUAUUUUU